GACGAACGCUGGCGGCGUGCUUAACACAUGCAAGUCGAACGGAAAGGCCCUGCUUUUGUGGGGUGCUCGAGUGGCGAACGGGUGAGUAACAUGUGAGUAACCUGCCCUUGACUUUGGGAUAACUUCAGGAAACUGGGGCUAAUACCGGAUAGGAGCUCCUGCUGCAUGGUGGGGGUUGGAAAGUUUCGGCGGUUGGGGAUGGACUCGCGGCUUAUCAGCUUGUUGGUGGGGUAGUGGCUUACCAAGGCUUUGACGGGUAGCCGGCCUGAGAGGGUGACCGGCCACAUUGGGACUGAGAUACGGCCCAGACUCCUACGGGAGGCAGCAGUGGAGAAUAUUGCACAAUGGGCGGAAGCCUGAUGCAGCAGCGCCGCGUGCGGGAUGACGGCCUUCGGGUUGUAAACCGCUUUCGCCUGUGACGAAGCGUGAGUGACGGUAAUGGGUAAAGAAGCACCGGCUAACUACGUG
rnacentral:rRNA from 1 species